rnacentral:rRNA from 1 species
UACGAGGGGGGGCGAGCGUUGUUCGGAAUUAUUGGGCGUAAAGGGUGCGUAGGCGGUUUGGUAAGUCUGAUGUGAAAUCUAUGGGCUCAACUCAUAGUCUGCAUCGGAAACUGCCGGGCUUGAGUAUGGGAGAGGUGAGUGGAAUUUCCUGUGUAGCGGUGAAAUGCGUAGAUAUAGGAAGGAACACCAGUGGCGAAGGCGACCACCUGGACUGAUACUGACACUGAGGUGCGAAAGCGUGGGGAGCAAACAGG